UACGGAGGGGACUAGCGUUGUUCGGAAUUACUGGGCGUAAAGCGCACGUAGGCGGAUUUGUAAGUCAGGGGUGAAAUCCCGGGGCUCAACCUCGGAACUGCCUUUGAUACUGCAAAUCUCGAGUCCGGAAGAGGUGAGUGGAAUUCCUAGUGUAGAGGUGAAAUUCGUAGAUAUUAGGAAGAACACCAGUGGCGAAGGCGGCUCACUGGUCCGGUACUGACGCUGAGGAGCGAAAGCGUGGGUAGCAAACAGG
rnacentral:rRNA from 1 species